rnacentral:rRNA from 1 species
CUACGGGUUGCUCCAGUGGGGAAUAUUGGACAAUGGGCGCAAGCCUGAUCCAGCCAUGCCGCGUGUGUGAAGAAGGCCUUCGGGUUGUAAAGCACUUUCAGUAGGGAGGAAGCGUUGAGUGUUAAUAGUACUCAACGUUGACGUUACCUACAGAAGAAGCACCGGCUAACUCUGUGCCAGCAGCCGCGGUAAUACAGAGGGUGCAAGCGUUAAUCGGAAUUACUGGGCGUAAAGCGCACGUAGGCGGUUUUUUAAGUCAGAUGUGAAAGCCCCGGGCUCAACCUGGGAAUUGCAUUUGAAACUGGAAAACUAGAGUGUGUGAGAGGGGGGUAGAAUUCCAAGUGUAGCGGUGAAAUGCGUAGAGAUUUGGAGGAAUACCAGUGGCGAAGGCGGCCCCCUGGCACAACACUGACGCUCAGGUGCGAAAGCGUGGGGAGCAAACAGGAUUAGAUACCCGUGUAGUC